AUGGACCCAAAAAUCUCCACUAUGGACCCAAAAAUCUCCACUAUGGACCCAAAAAGCUUCAGUUUGGACCAAGAACUCCACGGUUACCUGCCCCCCCCCGUCACCGUCACCUGGGGCGGGGCCACCGACGGCGUCACCACCUUCCCCUCCACCCCCGACUCCCGCCACCGGCCUCCACCGCCUCAGCACCCACCUCCGCCUGCCCCACGGCACCCACGGCGGCACCUACACCUGCAGCGUCACCCCACCCCGCCACCGGCGUCAGCCUCACCAAGGAGGUCCAAGAUCGUGCGAGGUUCUCCCCUGGCCCCACAAGUCCAGGUCCUCCACGGGACCUCCUGCCACCCCAACGAGGAGACGUUGGAGCUCCUCUGCCUCAUCUCCGGCUUCACCCCGGCGGCCGUGGAGGUGGAGUGGUUGGUGGACGGCGUCUCCGGUCUCCUGCCGGAGAGUCCGCUCGGCGCCGCGCCGGGAGAGAGGGGACGUCACCUACUCGGCCACCAGCCGGACCAACGUCAGCCGCGCCGAGUGGUUGGAGGGGAAGACCUUCACCUGCCAGGUCAGACAUCCGGCCAGCGGCCUGGAGCAGCCCGAUCUCGGCCCCAUCUUCCUCUACCUCAUCCCACCCGCCGUGGCCGACCUCUACAUCAGCCGCCAACCCAAGGUCCGGUGUUUGGUCACCAACCUGCCGAGCGAUUCCGGUCUCCAGCUCUCCUGGGUGAAGGAGAAGCCGGGUGUCCUCAACCCGGAUCCUUUGGAUCUCCAAGAGCAGUUCAACGGCACCUUCACGGCCACCAGCGCUUUGACCAUCUCCACCCAAGAGUGGGAAGCCGAGCGAGCGGUUCACCUGCGUGGUGAAGCACCGCGAGCUCCAGGUGUCCAAACCCCGUCGCCCACCAAAACUUCUCCUCCUAGGCAAGGUCUCCCCGCCUCUCAUCUUCCUCCUCCCGCCCCACCCCGAGGAGAUGACCCAGACCAAGGUCACCCUCACCUGUUUGGUCCACGCUUUCCAACCCGACAACCUCCAAGUCCAAUGGUUGAAGAACCACCAGGAGGUCCCCCGGGAGACCUACGUCACCACCCCGCCCCUCAAGGACGGCCCCAAGGAGAGCACCUUCUUCGUCUACAGCAAGAUGGCCGUCCUCAAGAGCAGCUGGUUGAGCGGCGACACCUACUCCUGCAUGGUGGUCCACGAAGGGUUGCCCAUGAAGUUCACCCAACGCCAAGCGCAGAAGAACCCCGGUAAUUAA